UACGUAGGUGGCAAGCGUUGUCCGGAUUUACUGGGCGUAAAGAGCGCGCAGGCGGUCGUUCAAGUCGCGUGUGAAAGCCCCCGGCUCAACUGGGGAGGGUCACGCGAUACUGAUCGACUCGAAGGCAGGAGAGGCGAGUGGAAUUCCCGGUGUAGCGGUGAAAUGCGCAGAUAUCGGGAGGAACACCUGCGGCGAAGGCGGGUUGCUGGGCUGAUACUGACGCUGAGGCGCGAAAGCUAGGGGAGCGAACGGG
rnacentral:rRNA from 1 species